AACGAACGCUGGCGGCAUGCCUAACACAUGCAAGUCGAACGAGACCUUCGGGUCUAGUUGCGCACGGGUGCGUACCGCGUGGGAACCUGCCCUUAGGUUCGGAAUAACUCCCCGAAAGGGGUGCUAAUACCGGUUAAUGUCUUCGGACCAAAGAUUUAUGGCCUUUGGCUGGGCCCGCGUUGGAUUAGCUAGUUGGUAGGGUAAAAGCAUAGCAAGGCGUCGAUCCAUAGCUGGUCUGGGAGGAUGAUCAGCCACACUGGGACUGAGACACGGCCCAGACUCGUACGGGAAGGAGGAGUGGGGAAUAUUGGACAAUGGGGGAAGGCGUGAUCCAGCCAUGCGGGGUGAGUGAUGAAGGCCUUAGGGUUGUAAAGCUGUUUUAGCCGGGAUGAUAAUGACGGUACCGGGAGAAUAAGCACCGGCUAACUACGUG
rnacentral:rRNA from 1 species